UAGUUCAGACUCUUGCCCGAACUCCGUAGUCCAGCUGCGGCUAGGAGGUCAGAGGCUGUCCACCGCCUUCGGUCCUUGGCUUGGAGGAUGGAUCCGGGGUCCGGGGCCGAGGCGGCCCCGUUGGCUGGUUUGGCCUGGUCGUCGGCCUCGGCGCCCCCGCCUCGGGGAUUCAGUGCGAUCUCCUGCACUGUGGAGGGGGCGCCCGCCAGCUUCGGCAAGACUUUCGGGCAGAAAUCCGGCUACUUCCUGUGCCUCAAUCCUUUGGGCAGCCUAGAGAAUCCACAGGAGAACGUGGUGGUCGAUAUCCAGGUCCUGGUGGACAAGAGCCCCCUCCCGCCGGGAUUCUCCCCGGUCUGCGAGCCCUUGGACUCCAAGGCCUCCGUGUCCAAGAAGAAACGCAUGUGUGUGAAGCUGGUGCCCUUGGGGGUCGCGGACACAGCUGUCUUUGACGUCCGGCUGAGUGGGAAAACCAAGACGGUGCCUGGAUACCUGCGAGUAGGGGACAUGGGGGGCUUCGCCAUCUGGUGCAAGAAGGCCAAGGCCCCGCGGCCAGUGCCCAAGCCCCGAGCUCUCAGCCGAGACAUGAGAGACCUCUCCCUGGGCCCGCCUGGCCAGCCCAGCAAGGGUGGCUUCCCGGAGCGGACACUUUCGAGGCUGGGCUCUCGGGCAUCUACACUUCGGAGGAGCGACUCCAUCUACGAGGCCUCCAACCUCUACGGCAUCUCAGCCAUGGAUGGGGUUCCCUUCACGCUGCACCCCCGAUUUGAGGGCAAGAGCUGUGGUCCCCUGGUGAGUCCGGUCCCGGGGAGUCUGGGUCUGCCCCUCCCCAUUGCGUUUCUAGGCAACAGGAAUCAGGGAGCAUCGUCUGUGUAACGAGCACCUCAGCACAGAGGGGAGUUCCUGGGCCUUCUCUGCCUUUGCUGAUCUGACCAUCAAGUCACUGGCGGACAUUGAGGAGGAGUACAACUACGGCUUCGUGGUGGAGAAGACGGCAGCUGCCCGCCUGCCCCCUAGCGUCUCUUAGCCCCUCGCCGGCCCCAGGGAAGAGUCCCCUGCCUGACACCCCCGGACUGGCAGCUGCCCACCGCAUUGAAUCUCGGGAGCCUUGGCGGCACAAGGCAUUCCGGACCCUCGGCCACCCAGCAGAGCAGCAGCCCUGGAGGAGGGGCUGGGAGCGGUCUGCUUGGUGAUGGGUCUCCUGCCCCCCGGGCCCUGAUGGGCAAGGCAGGGGGAGGGGCUGGACGGAAACCAGUGCCUUCAAGUCAUUUGUGUCAAAACUUGCUGGUGCCUGGAGGCCACGCGGGCGUCCUCCCUCCAGGAAAUAAACACCACGCUGUCCGGGC